AUGGAGAGAGAACGAGCUCUGAAAUCCUUUAAGAGCGGUAUGACUCCAAUUUUGGUGGCAACUGAUGUUGCAUCACGAGGCUUGGACAUUCCUCACGUGUCUCAUGUCAUCAAUUUUGAUCUGCCAAAAGACAUAGACGAUUAUGUGCACAGGAUAGGCCGAACAGGGCGUGCUGGUAAAUCUGGACUGGCAACUGCAUUUUUCAGUGACAAGAACAUCCCACUUGCAAAGGCACUUGUUGAACUAAUGAAGGAAGCAAAUCAGGAGGUUCCUUUGUGGCUUAGCCAGUACGCUGAAAAUAUAUCUUAUGGAGGUGGUGGCCGAACCAAACGAUAUGGUGCUGGCAGGUUUGGCAGCUAUGACUUCCGUGGUGCCUAUGGUGGUGCUGACAACAGUGCGGAUUCGUAUGCUUCUUCCAGUGCAUAUGUCGAUGCUGUUUCAGCCGGUACAGGUUAUACUGCAGCCACAGAUGAUGCUGGUUACAGUGUUCCUGCCACUGCUGAAUCUCAUUCUGUGGCAUCACAUGGAUAUGAAUUUGAUCACAAAUCAGUUAUUGCUACUGGAUGGGAUUAGAAAUGGAUCCUUCUUACUUUCGGCUCCAUAAUAUAUUAUCGAGUAUAUAACCAAAUAGGAUAACCGGUAAUUUUAAGAACAGAAAAGAAAAGAAAAGAAAGCUGCUGAACGCUAACUGAAGGAUGGACAUAAAGUUGACAAAUUUUAUCCUCGCAGCUUGUAGUUGAUUAUACAGACUACUCAUUACUCAAAGAG
rnacentral:misc_RNA from 1 species